rnacentral:rRNA from 14 species
UGCUUUUAAUCGAGUGCCAAUGUGGGCCGGUACUAUUACUUUGAACAAAUUAGAGUGCUUAAAGCAGGCUUCAAAUGCCUGAAUAUUCUGUGCAUGGGAUAAUGAAAUAAGACCUCUGUUCUACUUUCAUUGGUUUUUAGACCAAGAGGUAAUGAUUAAUAGAAGCAGUUGGGGGCAUUAGUAUUACGAGGCGAGAGGUGAAAUUCGUAGACCCUCGUAAGACUAACUUAAGCGAAAGCAUUUGCCAAAGAUGUUUUCAUUAAUCAAGAACGAAAGUUAGGGGAUCGAAGAAGAUUAGAUACCUUCGUAGUCCUAACCAUAAACUAUGCCGACUCGGGAUUGGCGGUCGUUUUUUUACCGACUCCGUCAGCACCGUAUGAGAAAUCAAAGUCUUUGGGUUCCGGGGGGAGUAUGGUCGCAAGGCUGAAACUUAAAG